rnacentral:lncRNA from 1 species
GGAAGUCCUCUGUUUUAUUUUUACUUAUUUUUCGCAUGAGGACAUUGCUCUAGCUUAGUUUGGGGGUGGUUACGUUUUAUUUUUACCAGUUGUAGUUUGUUAUUAGUUUGUGGAUUGAUUAUUAGUAAAGUUGCAUUUAGGAUUGCAUGUCAAUUCUAGUUUUUGAGAGUGCGUAUAUCUGGGGCCAAUGAUGAAAGUAGAAUUGCAUGAACAAGUCUAGUAAGGAU